rnacentral:rRNA from 1 species
GGAUGAACGCUGGCGGCGUGCCUAAUACAUGCAAGUCGAGCGAACAGACGAGAGUGCUUGCACUCUCUGACGUUAGCGGCGGACGGGUGAGUAACACGUGGGUAACCUACCUUUAAGACUGGGAUAACUUCGGGAAACCGGAGCUAAUACCGGAUAAUAUUUAGCUUCGCAUGAAGCAAUAGUGAAAGACGGUUCUGCUGUCACUUAUAGAUGGACCCGCGGUGUAUUAGCUAGUUGGUGAGGUAACGGCUCACCAAGGCAACGAUACAUAGCCGACCUGAGAGGGUGAUCGGCCACACUGGGACUGAGACACGGCCCAGACUCCUACGGGAGGCAGCAGUAGGGAAUCUUCCGCAAUGGACGAAAGUCUGACGGAGCAAUGCCGCGUGAGUGAAGAAGGUUUUCGGAUCGUAAAACUCUGUUGUAAGGGAAGAACAAGUACGUUAGUAACUGAACGUACCUUGACGGUACCUUACCAGAAAGCCACGGCUAACUACGUG